GACGAACGCUGGCGGCGUGCUUAACACAUGCAAGUCGAGCGGUAAGGCCCCUUCGGGGGUACACGAGCGGCGAACGGGUGAGUAACACGUGAGCAAUCUGCCCAUCACAUCGGGAUAACUCCGGGAAACCGAAGCUAAUACCGAAUACGACCACCUCCGGCAUCGGAUGGUGGUGGAAAGUUCCGGCGGUGAUGGAUGAGCUCGCGGCCUAUCAGCUUGUUGGUGGGGUAACGGCCCACCAAGGCUUCGACGGGUAGCCGGCCUGAGAGGGUGACCGGCCACACUGGGACUGAGACACGGCCCAGACUCCUACGGGAGGCAGCAGUGGGGAAUAUUGGACAAUGGGCGAAAGCCUGAUCCAGCAACGCCGCGUGAGGGAUGACGGCCUUCGGGUUGUAAUCCUCUUUCAGCAGGGACGAAGCGCAAGUGACGGUACCUGCAGAAGAAGCACCGGCCAACUACGUG
rnacentral:rRNA from 1 species